rnacentral:rRNA from 1 species
AGGUGGUGCAUGGUUGUCGUCAGCUCGUGUCGUGAGAUGUUGGGUUAAGUCCCGCAACGAGCGCAACCCUUAAGCUUAGUUGCCAUCAUUAAGUUGGGCACUCUAAGUUGACUGCCGGUGACAAACCGGAGGAAGGUGGGGAUGACGUCAAAUCAUCAUGCCCCUUAUGAUUUGGGCUACACACGUGCUACAAUGGACAAUACAAAGGGCAGCGAAACCGCGAGGUCAAGCAAAUCCCAUAAAGUUGUUCUCAGUUCGGAUUGUAGUCUGCAACUCGACUAUAUGAAGCUGGAAUCGCUAGUAAUCGUAGAUCAGCAUGCUACGGUGAAUACGUUCCCGGGUCUUG